UAAAAAUUAACUAAGUUUAUAGUGCUGGAACUGAUGUGUGUGCGAUAACAGUACAUUAUAUUUGAAAGGAUGACCAGAAGACAGCAGCAGGAAUUAAACUAAAGCCAAGAAACUGAGCACAGCUCCUUGGACAAAUCUUAAUCUUGGCUGAUGCCAUAUCUGGUGGGGGUGAGCUGAAGUGUACUUCACUGUGCAUAGAGAGAGAAACCUGCUUUUGAAACUCCUUCCAGAAGCAUACUAUCUUUUCGUAAGUGGGAAAUGUCUUGUGUUUUGCCUUGUGUUUCUUGUUUGAUGGCAUGCCUGGGUCUUCUUUCUUAUUUUUACCUUGUCUGCAGAUUUUUCCACCACAAAGAGAGCUCCCAGAUGAUUAUGCACUCUUCUGCCCAGUGAACAAAAGGAAGCAUAAUCUGGACUAACUACAGGUUGAAUAUCCCAGGUUCUUCUCAGGUUAUGGUUGGCUGAGCUAUACUUAUUGAACACCUGCUGUAAAUAACCAUCAUGAAGAUGAAGCCUUAAGGACAUGUUUGCUUCUCCUGCCAUGGCUGGAAGUUUCCUG
rnacentral:lncRNA from 1 species